rnacentral:rRNA from 1 species
AUGCGUUGUUGGGUAGGGGAGCGUUCUGUAAGCCUGCGAAGGUGUGCUGUGAGGCAUGCUGGAGGUAUCAGAAGUGCGAAUGCUGACAUAAGUAACGAUAAAGCGGGUGAAAAGCCCGCUCGCCGGAAGACCAAGGGUUCCUGUCCAACGUUAAUCGGGGCAGGGUGAGUCGACCCCUAAGGCGAGGCCGAAAGGCGUAGUCGAUGGGAAACAGGUUAAUAUUCCUGUACUUGGUGUUACUGCGAAGGGGGGACGGAGAAGGCUAUGUUGGCCGGGCGACGGUUGUCCCGGUUUAAGCGUGUAGGCUGGUUUUCCAGGCAAAUCCGGAAAAUCAAGGCUGAGGCGUGAUGACGAGGCACUACGGUGCUGAAGCAACAAAUGCCCUGCUUCCAGGAAAAGCCUCUAAGCAUCAGGUAACAUCAAAUCGUACCCCAAACCGACACAGGUGGUCAGGUAGAGAAUACCAAGGCGCUUGAGAGAACUCGGGUGAAGGAACUAGGCAAAAUGGUGCCGUAACUUCGGGAGAAGG